AGUUAUGCUAUAUGUUGCCAGA
rnacentral:miRNA from 1 species